rnacentral:rRNA from 1 species
UACGGGAGGCAGCAGGGGGAAUAUUGCACAAUGGGCGCAAGCCUGAUGCAGCCAUGCCGCGUGUAUGAAAAAGGCCUUCGGGUUGUAAAGUACUUUCAGUCGUGAGGAAGGUGUUAAGGUUAAUAACCUUAGCAAUUGACGUUAGCGACAGAAGAAGCACCGGCUAACUCCGUGCCAGCAGCCGCGGUAAUACGGAGGGUGCGAGCGUUAAUCGGAAUUACUGGGCGUAAAGGGCACGCAGGCGGUUAAUUAAGUUGGAUGUGAAAUCCCCGGGCUUAACCUGGGAAUGGCAUUCAAGACUGGUUAGCUAGAGUCUUGUAGAGGGGGUAGAAUUCCAUGUGUAGCGGUGAAAUGCGUAGAGAUGUGGAGGAAUACCGGUGGCGAAGGCGGCCCCUGGACAAAGACUGACGCUCAUGUGCGAAAGCGUGGGGAGCAAACAGCAUUAGAUACC